rnacentral:rRNA from 1 species
CCUACGGGGUGCUGCAGUGAGGAAUAUUGGUCAAUGGCCGCAGGGCUGAACCAGCCAAGUCGCGUGAGGGAUGACGGUCCUAUGGAUUGUAAACCUCUUUUGUCAGGGAGCAAAGGGCGCCACGUGUGGCGCUUUGCGAGUACCUGAAGAAAAAGCAUCGGCUAACUCCGUGCCAGCAGCCGCGGUAAUACGGAGGAUGCGAGCGUUAUCCGGAUUUAUUGGGUUUAAAGGGUGCGCAGGCGGAAUGUCAAGUCAGCGGUAAAAUUUCGGGGCUCAACCCCGUCGUGCCGUUGAAACUGGCGUUCUUGAGUGAGCGAGAAGUAUGCGGAAUGCGUGGUGUAGCGGUGAAAUGCAUAGAUAUCACGCAGAACUCCGAUUGCGAAGGCAGCAUACCGGCGCUCAACUGACGCUCAUGCACGAAAGCGUGGGUAUCGAACAGGAUUAGAUACCCUAGUAGUC